rnacentral:lncRNA from 1 species
UUCUUUUUUUCUCUUUUUUUUUUUGAUAAUGCCCCAGUUGGCUGUUCUGCUGAUUCUCGAGAUGCAGCUGAGUGAUCUUCUUUUCUUGCUCAAGAAGUCGGGAAAUCUCGUCAGGAAUCCCUUCAACAUCAUCUUCGUCCGCUUCAAAUACAGGGAAUUCAAAAUUGGGAGAUGACGUCCGAUCAUUAUGUUCAAUGGGUUUGAG